UCUUUGUCCCAUGGGCACAGCGGGAUGGGCACAGCACUGGGAUCCUGCAUCCCACCAGCAUCCUGCAUCCCACCAGGUGCUGGGGGCCCCCAUGGCUGUGCCAUCGUGGUGACGGUGCCCGUCUGACCCUUCAGAGCCCCCCCCCCCCCCAGGUGGUAAUUGCUCCAGCAGCCCCGAGUUGGUAUUUGCCCCGACGCCUCCCUGCAAACCUGCUGCAGCCGGUCCCAGCCCCGCCUGCCUGCCCUUCCUCACUGGGAGGAGGAGGAGGAGGAGACGGCGGCUGAGGGCCAGGUCUGGAAGGAGCAAGGAGCGUGCGUGGGAGCCGGGCGAGCGCGGGGCUGCGGCACAGCGGGACGGGACGGGACGGGACAGGACGGGACGGGACGGGAGGGCUCAGCUCUCCCCACCACCAGGUACCGCCUGGGGUGGGCAGCAGCAGCCCCGGUCCAGGGGUUUUUGCUCCGUGCACUUUGAUCCAGCACCAGCCCCACGUGUCUGUCUGCUCAGCCAGCUCGGCCAGCCACGGAGGGACCCAGGAGCUGUCACCUGCUGCCAGCUCCUGCCUGCGAGCAGGGCGCUGGGGGUGCUGCGGCCACCUCGGGGACCCGGCUGCUGUCCCCAGGGGCGCCGUGGCCAUGAGGAGAGCGCGAGCGUGCCGCGCUCCUCCUUCAUGUCGGGGAAGCUGAAGAAGAGCAGGAAGGCGGCGCUGGGGGAGAAGCAGUGGCAGAGCCUGGAGGAGAGGGGCAGCGCGGGCACCCAGCCGGGGUCGCACCCCGCACUCACCAGGUGGGUGCUGCUCGUGUCUGCGUGUCCCCAUGUCCCGGGGACACCAGGGGACUCAGCUCACCCUGCCUGCUGCUCCCUGCCAGGUCCAAAACCUACGACCCUUCCUGUAAGGAGACGGAGGAGGCUGAAGGGGCUGGAGGCCGG
rnacentral:lncRNA from 1 species